UAUUCAAUGCCUGAGAAUUUUUUUUAAGACCAAACUACCCUCUCCUUCAUCCUUCGUCCCCUUCUCUCUAUCGCUGAGAAUGACCGAGAGGAGGUGACGGUGGAGAGGACGCCGGAGUCGGAUGUGGCGACGGCGGAGGAGGAGAGGCUGAGGUACCUCGAGUCCGUGCAGCAAGCGGCGGCGCACGCGCUGGUGCUGGCGGCGGCGUACACCUACGCAAAGCAGGGCGCCGGGCCGCUCUGCCCCGGCGUCGACCACGUCGAGGGCACCAUCAAGGCUGUAGUAGGAGGCUGCUUGAGAGAGAGAGAAAAAUGUCAUUCUCUUCUAUGAUUAAAUGGGAUUAAAAUUAGUUUGUGAUUGAAAUAGUUUUGUUGCUGUUUGAGGGAACAGAAUUAAAAUCGAUGGUUUGAAGGUAGUAGUGCAAACUAAUCACUUGGGAUUAAACUAGUACUACAAAUCUUCAUAUGGAUUUACUCUCAGCUGGUUCAUCUUAUCUUCUGCUUGAUAAAGUUUUAUCAUUAAAAAUGAAAUCAAUCUUUUUAGACAUGGUGCGCUUUCACUCUCAAAAUAGGGCUAAAACCGCUUGAUUAAAAUGGUGUGAUAGCUGUUUGAAUGAACUAAAUUUGGACGCCAAUUUCGUUGGUUAGUUAAAAAGAAGUGAUGAUUUUUUUUUAUGUGUUGUGCUGCAGGUUGUUGAGUUGUCCAGGAGCUGGACCGCCACAUGCCGCCGGUGGUGAAGGAGGCGUCGGGGCUUGCCCCCUCCAUGGCAGCGGAGGUGCGGCAGGUGGGGCUCGUCGGCACCGCGGCCGUCGAAGCACCCGCACAGGGAGACACUCUUGGCGGCGAGGAGGUUGAGGCGGCUUCUGGAAUCGUCUCCGGGAGAAGGGACGGAGGAAGAAGACGAGGGUAGUUUGGUCUUACAAAAAUUUUCCAGCCGUUGAAUCGGAAUAACAAAGCUUCUGUGAAUGAACAGAAGUUUCUGAAGGCGUAAUUAGUAGGGACACUAAGCUGAUGUUAGCAGGGCAAUGCCAAGCGAGAGCAAGGAAACUAAAGCCAAACAAGACAAAAUGGCAGUCAACGAAGAUCGUGUCGUUUUCGCUCCUGAAGGAUAUCAUAUAUAUCUCCCUCUAUCGCCUUAUCGAUUUAAUGAUUUCUCCUUCCUCUAGAUUGUUUCCACACUCCACUCUCUCUCUCUCUCUCUGAUAAUGUCUAAAAGUCUCCCCAGUUGCUUUAAUAAACUGAGGAUUCCAAUUGGGCCAAGAAAGAAAUUGCUGUGCAAACAGGAACAAGCCAAGCAGCAAACGGAUGGCAUGUUGUCUCCUCAAGUAUGACGAGGACUGAAGCUCUUUGUUUUUCUUCGUGGUCAGAUGAUGAUCACUGAACUCUGAACUUAUCAUUUUUCGUUUUGAAAAUAAAGCUUUGACACAUGCGCAACACGCUCAACUGAGCAAACUGCAAUCAAGUAAGCUUAUGAACAUCGCCGAGGCAUCAAGUACUGGGACAUUGUAUAUUGCAUUGCACUAUUCAGUUGUAACAUUCACAAGGCACUCCGAUUCUCAGAAGAACUGAAACAUAAACCGAAACACAG